rnacentral:lncRNA from 1 species
GCAAGUAUUUGGUUCUUUCUCCAAUCCGAAUACUCUCAAGGAACAGAUCAAGAAUAGAGUCAGGUUUUGCCCAUUCUCGAUCCACCAUGGUAAUAAUCACCAUCUUGUCUUCUGUAGCUAUUUCUUUGACUAGUCUCGAUAAGCUUGAAGAUUCCUAUGACCACGAGGAAGUACAAAAUUUAUCAAUAAUGUUACUGAAUAAAAUUAAAUUAGCAUCAUACCUAAUGGGAUAAUAAUCUUUGAUCUUACAAGUUGAAGAUGCGAGAGUUGUGUUCCUCUGAUAGAAUUCAUGUAUGGAGCACAAGAGGGAUGUGACAACAACCAAAGGAUGAUGAAGAGAAGGAAGCAUAUGAAAAGGUACGGUGACUUCACUAUCCUUACAAUCUGCAUUUUUGUUCUUCUGAGUUUAGACUGCACACAAUCUUAAGAUAUAGAAAUCUUGAAUGUCCACACAUAUAUGUUCUUUUGUUAUAUUUGUGCAUUCAUGGUGAUUAUACUAUGAUGGAUAGAUUGAAUAGAGAAGAAGGGGUUCAUGCAGCAGAAUCUGAUUAUAAUUAAGCAUUUCCUUUUGCUGCCAAAUCCAUAUUUGUAAAGUAAAUAAAUGGUUAGAUUUUACAUUAUUGGGAAUUUGGGAUACUAUCCUUUAUGUCAAAUUAAUGCAUUUUGCACUUUUUUAGAAUUUAUUACCCAAAUAACUUUUGUUUUGACUCAAUUAUAGAUUUUUACAAGAGAUAUUUUCUCUAAAUUUUACUUCCAUUUUUUAUUAUUGGUUUCCUGAUUUUCUUUUUUUUUUCCAAGUACAUAUUGAAUUACUUACAAAAGUUUUAAAGUUGGUUGACUAUUCUCUCCCUAAUUAAGAUUACAAACACCCAUUAAUUAAAAUGUCUUUCUUAUGUUUAUAUAAAUUACAUCUUGUAAAAUAUAAUAGAGAAAGUGACAUAUGGCAAUCCACAAAUACAUAUCCAAUAGGGGAAGCAAAACCAAUCAUUUGUAAUUGAAACCGGUUUGAUUAUUAAAAAUUGGUUUGCUAAACCAAAUAAGCAAUGAAAAAUAUGUUGAUAAGAUUUGACACAUCAGAAAUGGGAAAUAUAUCGAUGUAACAAUAUAUAUAUGAUGUUGAACGUAUUCGUUUUCUUUUAAAAUGUUCGACUUCGACCUUUUGUUUCUUUAAUCCAACUUAAGUUUUUGAUAUCUUAGUCUUAGACACUCACAUCCAUAUAUAGACGUUACGAAUAUACACUUUUUUCUUUCUUUAACAAUGUAGACUAAAGUAUUAAAACAUAUAUGUUAUUCCUAUAAAAAAACGAAUUAACAAAGACUCAAAUCCCCUCCCAAAAAGAGUUCUUGAAACCAAGUAAGCUAUCAAAUUUUGGUGCUCCAACUAUAUAUACUAAAAAUAUAGGUUCGUUUUCUUGUGACAUUGUAUAUUUUAUUAUAUCAUUUGUAAAAGAAAGAAAAGAAGAAAACAGAUGAGUAUUAGAAAAUUAGUUCUUAUAUUUCCAACUUUCUUUAAAAUUUGACCAUAUGUGUGGGAUGAUUAUUUGAAAACAUGAAAAGAUGGCAAAAUCAUGAAUAAGUGGAUAGUGUAUGAUAUGAUCACAUAUGUUUUAAGAAAAUAGUGUGAAAUUUGUGUAUAAUUUAAAUGAAUAAUUAUUAUAAAUAAUGCGUAAAAUCACAUUUUGCAGUUUUUUAAACUUUUGUCUCCAUAUAUAAAUUUUACAAAUAAACCUCAAAGCAUUUGAUUAUUUUAUACAUUCUGAUUGAGUGCAUAUACAUCUCAAGUAUUGUCAAUGCCAUGACAAUAUAUCAAGUUUUCUCAACACACUAUUAUCGUGAAUUAUUAAUUAAUUAAUCAUAUUAUUGGGAAAAAAAAUUGGGUAGUACGAUCCGAAGACUCAAAAAAACUGGUCCACUCUUGUAGAUUCUGAUAAACCAAAACUACCUAAUCCUUAAAUAAAAUCUUUAUUGCCUAAUGUUUUUCUAAUUCAUCAAAUUCAUAACAAAUAGUAUUCAUUUGUUUUAAAAUCAUUUUGGUCACUAUCAACCCCAAAGUCGAGGAAUUACAUAACAAAACAUAUAAAAGAGUGUGUGUACGCAUCUGGUCGGCCAAAGGCGGUGCGGUGAGUCGACACCGUGUUCAAUAUUACCAUAUCUCUUUUUUAUUUUAUUUUAUUUUUCCCAAAUAUUAAAAUCGUCAAUAUCUUUGCCUAACUUCAUACUCAAAAGAAAAAAGUAUAUGCAAAUCUCGAUAUCUAAUUAUUUUAAUACCGCAUUUUGCAUGAAAAAGACUUCUUAUUCGUCAUUCAUAUAAAAUCUCUAUUAAUAAGUGUUUGUAAUUAAACUCAUGAAUUUGAUCAUACGUUGUUGUUACGCUUUAAUUUCGCAUUAAUUAAACUUAUAAAAUAAAUUUGUCACGUUAACUAACAAUCCAACCUAGCAUUUUUUUUUUCCGGAAUAUAUACAGAAACAUGCAUGUUGGUUUAUUAAGAUCGGCGGAUUUGUUCCACAACAAAAAAAUCAUUGCACAUGACAUGUUAAUGUUUUGAUUAUAUGUUUUCAAUGUAUCUUUUACUACUUCUGUGACUGGUUCGUUCAACAUUUAUCAUGUUGCGAGAGCUCUUACAAUGUUCUAAUAUUGUUUCUGUUUGGUUUGUAUAUACAUAUCUUAGUUCAAUACUGUUUGGUCCGAACAAAUUGAUCAAAAGCAUUUUGUUUAACUUGUGUUUUCUAAUAUAUAAUUUAUAUUUGUAACUAUAAGUGUAUUUAUGUUGUGACGGUCAGUAAUCUUUUUUCUUUUCAUCAUCUCUGCUCAGCUCAAUCAUGAGGGGAAAGAACUCAAAAAUUAAAUAAAUAAAAAAAGCAAAAAAGAAAAACAAAACUCACAUGAAGCAUAUGACUAGAUACGUGUUCCAUUCAAGAGACCAGCCAGUUGGAUUUAGAUCUGAUCAAGAAGGUCGUCGUCGAAUAGGGACUCUACACAUAUGGAUCACAUGGUUUUCACAGUCGCCACGUGUGUGUGUGUGUGUAGCUUCUUUCUGUAUUGUCCCCAUUCCUCUCACCAAAACUUAUGUACAACACAUUUAUUUGGUUGGCUCGAUUAUUCAUUAAUUUCAUAAUUAUUUUCCUAACCAAG